rnacentral:ncRNA from 2 species
AAAGACAGAAACCGGUGGUUAAAAAUUAUCUGUCAGGAUUCAGGUGAAAUAUACCUGUGGCAAGAGAGAUGUUAUCUGACUGACCCUCUCUUGCUCCCGUAGUU